GCAUAUAUAUAAAUUGCACUACCUAAAAAGUAAGCAGCUAGCAAUACAACCCAUGUUCCCUCACAAUAAAGAAGUCCUAAUCACUCAUAUGAAAUUAUGCAUGUCAAUGCAGGGAUGGUCAAGAGAUACUUACACUCACAAAAGAAGUUACACCAAUGUGCAUCAAGUACCAUAGGUUUACCCAUAUUUUCUUUACAUUAGCUUUCAGAUAGUCAAGUUAGGA
rnacentral:lncRNA from 1 species